UAUCGUCUUUGAAUGUUUUCUAACUUUGUUUAUUUUGUUUUUACAGAUAACAAGUGCAAGUGAAACAAGUUGAUGUCAAGAUACAUUAGUUAAUGCAAAGAAUAGUUCAACAAGGAGGAUAUUAUUGUGUUGGGGCUGCCUCAGUAUUAUUGGACUUAUUGGACUUGGGCUGUUGGGUUUGUACUUCCGGAUCUUAGCCCAUGACUUGGUAAACCGAGUUUCCUUGAAGUGCAACUUUUGACUUCUUUAAUGGUUGUGAUUUAGUUGUACACGUUGCCAUCUCCUAGCUGUUGGAUUUAUGUGACUCUUGGUGUUGAUACUUAGCCUCAUACGCCUCUAUCCUUUGAUUGUUGGUUGAUAUUUUGAGUUAUUUUUUUGGCUUUUCCUCUGAGUUCUAUACUCUUCUUCUUCGUGUUCAAUCUUUGUAAUCUUUCGAUGAAAUGUUCUUGGUUGUAUUUAAUGUGCAAUCUAAGAGAUUGUGAGGAGCAUAUUAUGUCGUAAUAGUAGAGAGGCGAGAUAAACUUUAGUAAAGAAUCUCUAAUUUCUUCAUACAUUUGCACCUAUUUUUAGUUGAUUCUAUUGGAUCAAAAGCGAUAUCUACUUGUAUAUGCCCAACGCAGUAAUUAGACCGGAGGCUGGACAUUCAGGCCUUUAGGGCUAAAAACAAUUCUCUGUGUUCUCCUUAUUUUGAGUUCUGCAAUUUAUUUUCUUGCAAAUGUUUUUGGUUUAAAUUGGAUUGUAGAAACUGUUUUGGAACCAACAGAUUCAAUGUAUACUCUUGAACGUAAUGGGUUCUUAUAUUUGAUAACAUUAUAUCUAGAUGAUUAUAAUUUAAC
rnacentral:lncRNA from 1 species